rnacentral:lncRNA from 1 species
CAUCACGCUAGAAGCUGGCGCUUCUGGGAAAGAGGGCAAUGAGUCGGUGGUUUUUUAGAGGCCUGGCCGCUAUCCUGUAAAACGCUUUUGUAGCUUAUUUCAUCACAUUUUUUCUGAUGCCGCUAUAUUGACAGUGUGUACCUUUCUUUCAGAAUCUAUAGAGAAGAACAGCGACGUCCGAUGGGAUCUUGGAAGGUUGCCGGGAAUGUGCAGAUCGGCAAUUGCACCUUAAUACGGACAUACGAAAUCUUUCAGGAGGAAGACAUUGGGAACUUGUUCUCAUUUAGAUUCAACCCUUAUUCAAGAUGGCUGAAGUUGAUGACAGUCUGA